rnacentral:rRNA from 1 species
AACGAAACCUUUCGGGGUUUAGUGGCGGACGGGUGAGUAACGCGUGAGAAUCUGGCUUCAGGUCUGGGACAACCACUGGAAACGGUGGCUAAUACCGGAUGUGCCGAGAGGUGAAAGGUUAACUGCCUGAAGAUGAGCUCGCGUCUGAUUAGCUAGUUGGUAGUGUAAUGGACUACCAAGGCGACGAUCAGUAGCUGGUCUGAGAGGACGAUCAGCCACACUGGGACUGAGACACGGCCCAGACUCCUACGGGAGGCAGCAGUGGGGAAUUUUCCGCAAUGGGCGAAAGCCUGACGGAGCAAUACCGCGUGAGGGAGGAAGGCUCUUGGGUCGUAAACCUCUUUUCUCAGGGAAGAACAAAAUGACGGUACCUGAGGAAUAAGCAUCGGCUAACUCCGUGCCAGCAGCCGCGGUAAUACGGAGGAUGCAAGCGUUAUCCGGAAUGAUUGGGCGUAAAGCGUCCGCAGGUGGCGAAGUAAGUCUGCUGUUAAAGCGUCUAGCUCAACUAGAUAAGAGCAGUGGAAACUACUUACGCUAGAGUGCGUUCGGGGCAGAGGGAAUUCCUGGUGUAGCGGUGAAAUGCGUAGAGAUCAGGAAGAACACCAGUGGCGAAGGCGCUCUGCUAGGCCGCAACUGACACUGAGGGACGAAAGCUAGGGGAGCGAAUGGGAUUAGAUACCCCAGUAGUCCUAGCCGUAAACGA